rnacentral:rRNA from 1 species
GGGGGAAUUUUGGACAAUGGGGGCAACCCUGAUCCAGCAAUGCCGCGUGUGUGAAGAAGGCCUUCGGGUUGUAAAGCACUUUUGUCCGGGAAGAAAUCCCCUGCCCUAAUACGGCGGGGGGAUGACGGUACCGGAAGAAUAAGCACCGGCUAACUACGUGCCAGCAGCCGCGGUAAUACGUAGGGUGCGAGCGUUAAUCGGAAUUACUGGGCGUAAAGCGUGCGCAGGCGGUGAUGUAAGACCGAUGUGAAAUCCCCGGGCUCAACCUGGGAACUGCAUUGGUGAUUGCAUUGCUCGAGUAUGGCAGAGGGGGGUGGAAUUUCACGUGUAGCAGUGAGAUGCGUAGAGAUGUGGAGGAACACCGAUGGCGAAGGCAGCCCCCUGGGCCAAUACUGACGCUCAUGCACGAAAGCGUGGGGAGCAAACAGGAUUAGAUACCCUGGUAGUCCACGCCCUAAACGGUGUCAACUGGUUGUCGGGCCUUCAUUGGCUUGGUAACGUAGCUAACGCGUGAAGUUGACCGCCUGGGGAGUACCGUCGCAAGAUUAAAACUCAAAGGAAUUGACGG